rnacentral:rRNA from 1 species
AAUGAACGCUGGCGGCGCGCCUAAUACAUGCAAGUCGAGCGAGAAGACGUAGCAAUACGUUUGUAAAGCGGCGAACGGGUGAGGAAUACAUGGGUAACCUACCCUAGAGUGGGGAAUAACUAGCCGAAAGGUUAGCUAAUACCGCGUACGCUCCUUGGACUUCGGUUCAGGGAGGAAAGCGAUACCGAGGGUAUCGCGCUCUUGGAUGGGCUCAUGUCCUAUCAGCUUGUUGGUGAGGUAACGGCUCACCAAGGCUUCGACGGGUAGCUGGUCUGAGAGGACGAUCAGCCACACUGGCACUGCGACACGGGCCAGACUCCUACGGGAGGCAGCAGUAAGGAAUAUUGCGCAAUGGGCGAAAGCCUGACGCAGCGACGCCGCGUGGGGGAUGAAGGUCUUCGGAUUGUAAACCCCUUUCGGGAGGGAAGAUGGAACGAGCAAUCGUUCGGACGGUACCUCCAGAAGCAGCCACGGCUAACUUCGUGCC